UACGUAGGGUGCAAGCGUUAAUCGGAAUUACUGGGCGUAAAGCGUGCGCAGGCGGUUCGUUGUGUCGGCGGUGAAAGCCCCGGGCUCAACCUGGGAAUGGCCGUUGAAACUGGCGAACUGGAGUGUGGCAGAGGGGGGUGGAAUUCCGCGGUGUAGCAGUGAGAUGCGUAGAGAUGCGGAGGAACACCGAUGGCGAAGGCAGCCCCCUGGGCUGACACCUGACGCUCAGGCACGAA
rnacentral:rRNA from 1 species